UACAGAGGGUGCGAGCGUUAAUCGGAAUUACUGGGCGUAAAGCGCGCGUAGGCGGCUUUGCAAGUCGGGUGUGAAAUCCCCAGGCUUAACCUGGGAACUGCAUUCGAGACUGCAUUGCUAGAGUAUGGGAGAGGGAAGUGGAAUUUCAGGUGUAGCGGUGAAAUGCGUAGAUAUCGGAAGGAACAUCAGUGGCGAAAGCGACUUCCUGGACCAAUACUGACGCUCAUGUGCGAAAGCGUGGGGAGCAAACAGG
rnacentral:rRNA from 1 species